rnacentral:rRNA from 1 species
UUUUUGGAGAGUUUGAUCCUGGCUCAGAACGAACGCUGGCGGCGUGCUUAACACAUGCAAGUCGCACGGGAAAGUCCUUCGGGAUGAGUAUAGUGGCGCACGGGUGAGUAACACGUGGGUAAUCUGCCCUUAAGUGGGGAAUAACAUGCUGAAAGGCGUGCUAAUACCGCAUGAAAGAGGGGGGGCGUAAGCCAUUCCCUUUUAAAGAUGGCCUCUGCUUGCAAGCUAUCGCUUAAGGAUGAGCCCGCGGCCCAUUAGCUAGUUGGUAGGGUAAUGGCCUACCAAGGCGAUGAUGGGUAGCCGACCUGAGAGGGUGAUCGGCCACACUGGAACUGAGACACGGUCCAGACUCCUACGGGAGGCAGCAGUGGGGAAUUUUGCGCAAUGGGGGAAACCCUGACGCAGCAACGCCGCGUGAGUGAUGAAGGCCUUCGGGUUGUAAAGCUCUUUCGACUGGAAAGAAACUCUUCGGUGCUAAUACCACCGAGGAUUGACGGUACCAGUAUAAGAAGCCACGGCUAACUCUGUGCCAGCAGCCGCGGUAAGACAGAGGUGGCAAGCGUUGUUCGGAAUUAUUGGGCGUAAAGGGCGUGUAGGCGGUUUUGUAAGUCGGGCGUGCAAUCCCAUGGCUUAACCAUGGAACUGCGUUCGAUACUGCAUGACUUGAGUGCAGGAGAGGAGGGUGGAAUUCCCAGUGUAGAGGUGAAAUUCGUAGAUAUUGGGAGGAACACCGGUGGCGAAGGCGGCCCUCUGGACUGUAACUGACGCUAAAGCGCGAAAGCGUGGGGAGCAAACAGGAUUAGAUACCCUGGUAGUCCACGCUGUAAACGAUGGAUACUAGGUGUGGGAGGUAUCGACCCCUUCCGUGCCGCAGCUAACGCAUUAAGUAUCCCGCCUGGGGAGUACGGCCGCAAGGUUGAAACUCAAAGGAAUUGACGGGGGCCCGCACAAGCGGUGGAGUAUGUGGUUUAAUUCGACGCAACGCGAAGAACCUUACCCAGGCUGGACAUGCAGGUAGUAGAAGGGUGAAAGCCUAACGAGGUAGCAAU